AUGUCACUGACUCUACUGCUGGCCACCCUGGGGCUCCUUGUUCAGGGUUCAUCAGCAGAAAUCAUCCUGACUCAGACUCCUACAGCUCAGUCUGUUGUUCCAGGACAGACUGUCUCUAUCAGAUGUAAAGCCAGUUCAAGUAUGGGUAGCUACCUGCACUGGUAUCUUCAGAAACCUGCAGAAUCUCCUAAACUGCUCGUUUCAUAUGCAACCAGUCGUCAGUCUGGAAUUCCUGAUCGCUUCAGUGGAAGUCAGUCAGGAACUGACUUCACUCUGACCAUCAGUGGAGUUCAGGCUGAAGAUGCAGGAGUUUAUUAUUGUGGACAAAGUGGUUACAGCUUCCCGUUCACACAGUGAAAAACCAUCGUACAAAAACCUCUCAGCUGAAGAGGAACUGAUCUGAAACAGCUGCAGAAAAGUAAAGCACUGAGAUGAAUCAUUAAUCCUGUUUUACAGUUUGAGAUAAUGAGUACACAUCAACAGUAAAAACA